rnacentral:rRNA from 1 species
UCGAGAAUAGUCUACAAUGGACGGAAGUCUGAUAGUGCGACGCCGCGUGAACGAAGAAUCCCUUCGGGGUGUAAAGUUCUUUUAUACGUGAGCAGUGUCCUUUAUAUUAAUAGUAUAAGGGGAGAGAUAUUAGCGUAUGAAUAAGCAACGGCUAACUCCGUGCCAGCAGCCGCGGUAACACGGGGGUUGCGAGCGUUGUCCGGAAUUACUAGGCGUAAAGUGCAGGUAGGCGGAUAAAUAAGUUUAAGGUUAAAGGCUACGGCUUACCCGUAGUAAGGCGUUAGAUACUGUUUAUCUGGAAUGCGGUUGAGGGAGACAGAAUUCCUGGUGUAGCGGUGGAAUGCGCAGAGAUCAGGAGGAAUACCGAAGGCGAAGGCAGUCUUCUAAGCCGAUAUUGACG